GCUGUCAAGACGGUCGCCACAAACACCCAUGGACA
rnacentral:tRNA from 1 species